rnacentral:RNase_MRP_RNA from 1 species
AAAAUAUUAUAUUAUUAAUAGGAAAGUCAUAAAUAUAUAAAUUAUAUUGUAUAAUUAUAUAUAUUAUUCAUUAUAUAUAUUAUUAAUUGUUUAAUAAAAAAAAAUAUAACAGGAUAAUUAUUAUUAUUAUAUACAAUAUUAAUAAAGUAAUUAGUAUAAAUAAAUAAAAUGAAAAUAAAACUUAAUAAAUAUAUUAUUAUAUAUUUUUAAUCACUUUAUAAUUAUUAUUAAUAGAUUAUUAGAAAUAUUAUACUUUAUAUCUUUAUAAAAAAUUAAGAUAUAUUUUUUAAUAUAUUAAUCUUAUUUAUAGUUAUAUAUAAAAGAUAUAUAAAAGUUAUAUUAUUAUACAGAAAUAUGCUUAAUUAUAAUAUAAUAUCCA